GACAUCCUGAGGGACUUCAACAGACUGGAGAACCGGGCAAGCAGGAUACUCAAAAAAAUUCAAGAAAAUCAGAGUCCACCCCUGGAGAGAAUAAUCCCAUGUAUGACUACAUACUGGGAGCUGACUGGCUGAAAAGCAGGUUGUCAGAGAACUCUGGAGUCCUCGUACGCAUCAAGCUGAUCAUAAGCCAGCGGAAUGUACCCUUGUGACACAGAUGGCCAACAGCCACCUAGGCUGAAUUAGCAAAAGCAUCACCAGCAGGUCAUUCUUCCUGUCUACUCAGCACUGCUUAGAACACUGCUUGCCCUUCAGGACAAGUUCUUUUAAAAUGCAUGCUUCAGUGGAAAAAAAAAAAAAAUCCAGUAAAAAAUUACCAUCCAGUGUGUGCAGAUGAAAAUGGGUUAAACCUAUCUGCAAACCAGACAGAUUUAUACUGAGAAGAGGAAUACAUUAGGAAUAUUAAGAAGAUGCUGCAGCACACCUCAGAGAUGAGGUCUGAGCUAUCACUAGCCAGCAAUAUAUCAUCUGAAACAGGAGAGUACACUGCUGUAUAUUCAUCAGGUUUACUUCCUGUAUCCCCUCAAAUGAG